GGAAUAUUGCACAAUGGGCGCAAGCCUGAUGCAGCCAUGCCGCGUGUGUGAAGAAGGCCUUCGGGUUGUAAAGCACUUUCAGCGGGGAGGAAGGCGUUAAGGUUAAUAACCUUGGCGAUUGACGUUACCCGCAGAAGAAGCACCGGCUAACUCCGUGCCAGCAGCCGCGGUAAUACGGAGGGUGCAAGCGUUAAUCGGAAUUACUGGGCGUAAAGCGCACGCAGGCGGUCUGUCAAGUCGGAUGUGAAAUCCCCGGGCUCAACCUGGGAACUGCAUUCGAAACUGGCAGGCUAGAGUCUUGUAGAGGGGGGUAGAAUUCCAGGUGUAGCGGUGAAAUGCGUAGAGAUCUGGAGGAAUACCGGUGGCGAAGGCGGCCCCCUGGACAAAGACUGACGCUCAGGUGCGAAAGCGUGGGGAGCAAACAGG
rnacentral:rRNA from 1 species